UUUUUUUGGCUUUUCGAGACAGGGUUUCUUUGUAUAGCUCUGGCUGUCCUGGAACUCACUUUGUAGACCAGGCUGGCCUCAAACUCAGAAAUCCACCUCCCUCUGCCUCCCGAGUGCUAGGAUUAAAGGUGUGUGCCACCACGACCAGCUCAAAUGAUGCUUUCAACAUGUUUAUUUUUACUUCUUUUUCAGUUGCCAUCUCUGUAAUCUGACCCUUGCUUGCUCUGCUCUACCUUUCAAAAGUUCUUCCUUUUCAAGUACUCCUCCCUUUUCAAAUGCUCCUCCCAUUUGAAGUGCUCCUCCCUUUUCAAAUGCUCCUCCCUUUUCACAUGCUUCUUCCUUUUCAAAUGUUCUGGCUUUUGUUUGACAGGGGUCUGAGAAGUUGGAUCGUUGUGUCUUGGUAUAGCUGUGUAUAAACAUUUUUCCUAAAUGUUCAGUUACCUACAGAUAACUGAGGAGUCCUUUUAUUUGCUUGUAAAUGUGACUUUUCUAGGUCAUAGCCAUCCUCUCUGCCUUGUAUUUGAUGCCAUCUUUUAGUAUAUCAGAGAAAACAACUCCAGCUUAGGCUUGAGCUCAGGGAACUCUGGAAGGACACACAAUGCUGGUAUUAUUUGCCACAUCAAACGGUGUUCUUUAUUCACUAACCCCUGGGCACGUUUACAAAUAUUUUUAAAGAAUGCAUUCAUCGCUUACUAUCUACACCAGAGAGAUGGAAACCAAGCUUACUUUCUCUCUCACUUGUCUUUUAAAAGCAUAUUCAUCCCGGUUGCCAUUCAAACCGUGGAGAGAAAUAAAAGCCAGUUGGUAACAGAAGCAGUUGUUUUAGACUGGGACGUAGUGAUGAAUCGGAAUCCUUCUGUUUUCUCAUUUGCGGAGCAUCUGCGCUUUACCCUUAUCCGUGUAAACCCCUAAGGACUUUGAGGGCUAAGUCUGAUGGAGGGAGCAGUGGUAUUUCCAGUUCUCCAGUUAGAAGAGGGCAGGGCAGAGGGAGAGCUCCAAGGAGAGAACUGGGGGCCACUUGGGAAGAUAAAGGAACACAGUCACCGAAGCUGGCCAUCAUGACAGUGGCUAACACCAAGGCAGGUAAAAUACAGGGCCAGGUCACAAACUGGGCAGGAGAUGGGAGGGAAGUGGGGCGUGGUGGGGCGUGGCACCUGGGUGUUCCGGAGUAGUCAUCUUGUUAAGCUUCUCUACAAAGUUUACACAAUAGGAAGUUGUUAAUGAACGGAGCCUUUCCAGGAAGUGCGUGAGGUGGAGCUUAACCCCCGGGAGAGAAGCUCGGUCGGUCGGUCGAUGCUGUGACUCAGCCUCUGGCUUCAUCAAGCUUCCGCCUCACCUGUCACGAGGGGGGAGGGGAGGUGGCGUUGUUUUGUAAACUUCCCAGAAAUCCUUUAUGGAGACAUUCUUCAAAAGGGCCAAGAAGUCUAAUUAGCCCUCAGCUAUUAGACGCAGGGCUGCUCUAGAUAGGGUAUGGGGUAGAGUGUGAUGACAUCUGUCCACUUACCUCAGUAAACGAGACAGAUAAGGUGUGGUGGCUCCAUCUUUUCUGUCAACUUGACUAUAGAGAGACUCUGCUAGGAGACAUAAGGCUGGAUGUUUCUGUGACACUGUUUCCACAGAGGUUUAACUGAGGUGGGUGGCAGCACCCCCUGAGGCAGGGCUGACUAACAGGAAAGGGGAAAGCCAGGUGAGCAGCACCCUCCCUCCCUCCUCCCUGCUUCCUGACUGGAUGCAGUCUGCCAAGCCACCUUGCAUCCCUGCGCCAUGAUGGACAGACUCUAUUCCUCAAGCUGUGAGCCAGAAUGAGCCCUCUCUUGCUUAAGCUGCUUUGUCAGGUAGAAAGGAUUCAAAGCAUACUAAUAAAUCUUUGGAGGAGAUGCCGUUGAGGAAACAGGAUUAACUUCUGAAGGGCCUCUGCACAUCUCAGGAGCCCCUCAUCUCUUUGUGCUGAGGGCUAGUUUCUCAAGGCGACAAUCCAGCACUUCCCAGCUGAUCCAUGAGAGGUGAAGCAGGUGCUCUGUACAAAUGUGACCUGCCUGUGACAGGGGGUGCCUAGGAGUGCGCCCAGUGAUCUGGGGGAAUGUGCCAAAAUACACUUCUUACUGAAGGGGUAUGGGCUCGGAUGUACUCCAGUGUGUAGACACAUUCUUGCCACAUUUCAGUUUUCCUUAAAGAAGACAAACAUGGACUGUUGUGGGCAUACAUGUUUGUAACCCUAGACUUGGAAAUCUGAGGUGAGAGAGUUACCAUGAGUUUGAUGACAGUCAGAGCUACAUAGCAAAACCUUGCUAAAACAAAUGAAAUUAAAUUUAAACAACACAGUAUAAGCGUGUGUGUGCACCCCACACACACACACGCCCCACUCCCUCCCCACACACGUGUAAGUCCCAGCUUAGGCAGGCAUGGACGUGUAAGUGAUACAAUAAGAAGUGGUGCAGAAUCCUCUUGAAAUGGGAGUCUUGGUUGGACCCAAGAACAGACAAUAGAGUGAAUAAUCAAUCAAAUAACCCUAAUAAGGGCUAGGUGUGUGACUCAGUGUUAAUGUGGUUGCCUAGCGUUGGUGCAGAACUGAUUUUGAUUCCCAGCAACACAAAGAAAGAAAAAAGAAAAGAAAAGAUGGGAAAUAUGGGUCAGUAGGUUUCUGGAAUCAACAUAGUGAAAGGAGAGAACUGACUCCUGCAUGGUCUUUUCUGACCUCUAUACACAUGAUGUGGUAUGUAAGCACCCAUGUGCAUGCACGCACACACACACACACACACACACACACACACACUAUACAUACAUACAUAUAAUACAUACACGUACAUAUACAUACAUACAUACAUACAUACAUACCUAUUACAUAUUUUUAAGAAGAGAAGAACUAAAGCCAAGUUGUCACUAGAACAUAAAUUAGAGCUGGCUAAUAGUGCAACAUUUCAACUUGUUCUCCACCAUGACAGCUUUUGCUCUUUUGUGGACUGUUGGAGAUGCCACAACAGAGACCCGAUGUCCCUCUGAGCUUGGCGUGUCCUUUGUAGUAUGGUAACCUCGUCAGCAGUGAACCCAGACAAACACCAUUCAUUACAGAGGCUGGCACUGAACCUGCCCCAGGCUCUCUCCUGGCUUUACAACAGUGGACUUGACCUACAUAACCAGCCUUUCUUCAGAGCUGAGCCGCAGGACUGGAGAAUGCCAGGUGUAAACCAUCCUAAUGCCUGGGUGUUCUCAACACCUCUGCUUCCUGGCCAGUAGUAAUAUGAGGCUCCUGGUGACCUAGGGCUCUCCAGAGAGACAGAACCAGGGUGAAUGGGAGUGGGGGUUGUCAGGCUCAAAGGGGCUACUAUCUGUGACCCCAACAGCCAGAAAGACAGCAACACAACUCAGUCAAGAAGCGGGAAGCCCGAGGAAGAGAGGCCAGCACCAUAGCCCAAGAGCCUCUGUAGGGCCCGGAUGCAGGAGCUCAAAGGCCAAAGAACUUGGGAGUCUGAAGCCCAGGGCAGCUGCAGGAGCAAGGUCCUACGGUGGAAGGAAGAGCCAGGCAUAAAGCUCGGGUCCCUCUCCCACUGGAGGAUGUUCUGCUGAGGGCAAGGUCUUGCACCUCACUGACACACAGCCAGUCUUUCACUGACACACAGCCAGUCUUCUCUGGGGGGUCCCAGGCUUUCCGUGCCCAUUCAAGUUCACACCCCACAGUUAACCAUUCUUUCUCCUGCUCCCGGUGGGCCUCAGCUGGUUGCUCUCCUCGGCGAUAAGUCAACAGCACCCAGAGCGAGCCUACAGUACCAGCCCUCCAUCCUAACAGAAAGCGUGCUCCUCUCAGCAACACCCUUGGAGUGGCAGCUUCCGCUGAACGUCCUCCUUCCUUUGGUGCGAGGUGAUUCAGCAGGCAGACUGGCCAUGUGGUCAGGACCCCAGCAAAGCUUCCGGGACCGAAGGGGGCGGGAGAAUGAGCAUUAGACAUUUUAGAUAUAACUCGACAUUUAACUCAUGCGUUUAUGGAUCAAAAUACAAAACAAAUAUUCACCUGUUCUUCCAGGAGGCAGUUCAUUUUCUAAUUUUUAAAAUUACAUUUAGACAAGCCCCUUCCGCUCCACUCGAGCCCCGGGCUACCUUGCCAGCAGAGUAUUGCCCAACACCCGCAAGGGCCCACACAGGAUUCCCCACGGGAUCCUAAGACCUCUGGUGAGUGGAACACAGCGCCUGCCCCAAUCCAAUCGCGCGGAACCUGAGACUGUGGUACAUAGGGAAGCAGGCUACCCGGGCCUGAUCUGGGGCACAAACCCCUUCCGCUCUACUCGAGCCCCGGGCUACCUUGCCAGCGGAGUCGCC
rnacentral:lncRNA from 1 species